CCCAAAAAACUUGCCUCUGCCUUUGUCAUCAUCAUCACCAUCAUCCUCAGCUGUGGACGACCAUACAUGGGUAUGAAGUAACAACCUAAGGAUCACUUAUCCUCUUCCGAAUCCUGGGCCUCCCCCUUACUCUUCAAACAAAGCUGCUGUUUCUUCACCACUUAAGCCUCCCUGACACCAACAGAAGUGGGAGAAAGAAGCAGAGCAUAGAGAGACAGAAGGAGAGGAGAGAGCGCGGAAAGAAGAAGAUCCUCCCUAACCACAGAAACACUUAGAGAGAGGAGGAAGAAAUGCUGUGCUUCUGUUGAGGCUGCAACUUUAAAGAACCAUCAUCACAAUUUAAUAAGUAUUUCAAAGGCUGCAAGGUCCUACAGAUACAGGGCGGGCUCCAGUUAAACCAAGUAACGGCAAGAAAGAGAGGUACUGCGAGAGACUGAAGAAAACAC